rnacentral:rRNA from 1 species
AUGGGCGGCGACCGGCAAACGGGUGCGGAACACGUACGCAAUCUACCCAUAACUGAUGAAUAGCCCUCCGAAAGGAGGAUUAAUACAUCGUAACACCUUAGAGUGGCAUCACUUUAUGAUUAUAGCUCCGGCGGUUUUGGAUGAGCGUGCGCCUGAUUAGGUAGUUGGCGGGGUAACGGCCCACCAAGCCUGCGAUCAGUAACUGGUGUGAGAGCACGACCAGUCACACGGGCACUGAGACACGGGCCCGACUCCUACGGGAGGCAGCAGUAAGGAAUAUUGGUCAAUGGACGCAAGUCUGAACCAGCCAUGCCGCGUGAAGGAUGAAGGUCCUCUGGAUUGUAAACUUCUUUUAUAGGGGAAGAAACCGGAAAAUUCUUUUUCCGUUGACGGUACCCUGGGAAUAAGCACCGGCUAACUCCGUGCCAGCAGCCGCGGUAAUACGGAGGGUGCAAGCGUUAUCCGGAUUCACUGGGUUUAAAGGGUGCGUAGGUGGGUUUGUAAGUCCGUGGUGAAAUCUCCAAGCUUAACUUGGAAACCGCCGUGGAUACUAUAAAUCUUGAAUGCUGUGGAGGUGAGCGGAAUAUGUCAUGUAGCGGUGAAAUGCUUAGAUAUGACAUAGAACACCAAUUGCGAAGGCAGCUCACUACACAGAUAUUGACACUGAGGCACGAAAGCGUGGGGAUCAAACAGGAUUAGAUACCCUGGUAGUCCACGCCCUAAACUAUGGAUACUCGACAUACGCGAUACACUGUGUGUGUCUGAGCGAAAGCAUUAAGUAUCCCACCUGGGAAGUACGACCGCAAGGUUGAAACUCAAAGGAAUUGACGGGGGCCCGCACAAGCGGUGGAGCAUGUGGUUUAAUUCGAAGCAACGCGCAGAACCUUACCAGCCCUUGACAUGGGUCGGACCGGCGCAGAGAUGCGCUUUCCCCGCAAGGGGCCGACUGCACAGGUGCUGCAUGGCUGUCGUCAGCUCGUGUCGUGAGAUGUUGGGUUAAGUCCCGCAACGAGCGCAACCCUCGCCUUUAGUUGCCAGCAUGUUUGGGUGGGCACUCUAGAGGAACUGCCGGUGACAAGCCGGAGGAAGGUGGGGAUGACGUCAAGUCCUCAUGGCCCUUAUGGGCUGGGCUACACACGUGCUACAAUGGCGGUGACAGUGGGACGCCAGGUCGCAAGGCCGAGCCGAUCCCCAAAAGCCGUCUCAGUUCGGAUUGCACUCUGCAACUCGGGUGCAUGAAGGUGGAAUCGCUAGUAAUCGUGGAUCAGCACGCCA